rnacentral:lncRNA from 14 species
GGUCUUCAAAGUCCACAGAAAAGAGCAGGAAAUAAAGGAGGGGAAGACAUUUUACAAAGCAAGGCAAUUUCUCCCAAAGCCUGAGAAGACCCGAGAUGCCCAGGUUCAGCACACCAGCAAGAGCCAUAGGACGGGAGAGGAUGCAAAGGUGCUCUUGGACAGAGGGGAAAAAAGGCUUGAAAAUCUGUGGAGAGCUCAUGGUGGACAAGUGCUAAAGCAUGUUGGGAUAUGGUACCAGUACACAGACAAAACACAAAUGACGCCUAAAUGGGGAAUUUGCUAAUAGAGGAAAUGAGAGUUCGAAGGCAGAGCAGUUUCCUGCUUCAAGGCAUGCCCAGCAAGCCCCAGUGCUGGUCACAGAAGGGGUCAGGACAGCUCUGGAUCACCCUUGUAAAGCUGCUGCAGACCAUACUUAGACCAGUGAAAUAAUGAGGACAUCUGGAGAUAAACAAGCAGCCCAGCAUACAGUUAAAUCACAGAGGAGCACGAAGUCAUCUAACUCAAGCCUUCCCUCCCAGACUGGUUUUGCACUGCUCUGCUCUAUCAAAGACAUGGGAUGAUGGAUUUCUUCUCUGCAGCAAUUGACUCCUUGAUACUAGCAACCUUCAGAGAUAACCUGUAGACUAAAAUAAGCCCAUCACCAAACCCACUAAACAAUACAACAGUAAGGAUUGUUUUAGCACUGGACAAAACCAAACUUACUUUCAAAUCAGCAAAUUAUGGGGAGUGAUAAACGUACCACUCCGAUUGCCUCCAUAGUUUCCACUUACACAUCCAGGAGUCCCUGCAGUACAGCUAGAGCUAAAAUAGCACCACAGAAGUGGGGAUAAGGUUAUGACAAUGCACAACCUGAGAUCUCUAUCAAUGAUUUGUGUUUGAGAGAUUACAGAUCCUUAUCUUGUGGCAUUACUUGCAGUAAUCACUCAGUUUUGACAGCUAAUCUAGAGGUCCCUACAUAUUGUUGCUCAGGAGCUCAGCAGGUAUUGCUAAGAUCUGCUUUCAGAUAACCUAACUAUUUACCUACUCUAAAAAACACAUACCAAAGGAUGUGCUUUAUCUCUUCACCAGCGGGUUAAAGCUAAAGGUGAACCAAGUGCAAUCUGCAGGCCAGGGUGGGGUGGGGGGAGCACAGAAAUUAACCUCA